CUUGAAUACCUGUUGUUACUUCCAGUAAAGUCUUGUUCCAGCAUUAAGCUUUGGCUCAGGUGUGGAUUAUUCGGCAAUUCCAGGGAUAUUUCUACUUGUGGAAUAUUGGGUGACUUUCUUUUAUGGGAAGAAGGGAAUGCUUGACGGUGAUACCUUAUACUACCGUCACAUGAGGUAUACCUUUUAGUAGCCACUUAGUCACAAGCACUGGCCUCAGUUAGCUUUCAUAUUUGUGUGAAAAGUGCAAAAAAUAAAUAUGAACGCUUACUUUGGCCUGUUUGUGACUGUUUUUUGCAUUUUUCACACAAAAACAAAAUAUGAAAGCUAACUUUGGUUAGUGUUUGUGACCAAGUGGCUACUAAAAAAGACAGCAUUUUCCCCAUAUUGAAUACCCUGGAUUCUCUACUUUUGCAAGUGGUAUGCCAUCAUGGGGGUAAUUCUCAUUCCUGAGCUACCAUACGGUCUCAAAGGCCACAUUACUAAUCUGGCAAAUUUCAGUGUGUAUAAACUGAAAAAUGUAAUGCUAUGUUUCACCCUGUAACUUUACAAAACACCGUAACACCUGUUCAUAGUUAAUCAGAAAUUGCUGAAUACAAAAUAUGUGUUUUUAUUGCAGUAAAAGCUAACGGUAUUCUGGAAGUUAAAAUGUCAUGCAGAACUAUAAAAAGAACAUUUCUUAAUUUCCCACUUUUAUUUAUUUUUUCCCCCACAUUUUAUUCAUAUUAAAUUAGGUUUCUUAUAUAAAAUAUUUGAUGUGAAAUGAAAGCUGUGUUUCGCCUGAACAAAAUGAUAUAUACUAAGUGUGGGUGCCCGUAAUAGGAAAGAGGUGAAUUCUGGUUGAACAGACAUAGCGCAUAUCCCAAGUUUUAUUUUGUUAAAAACUUGUACUAUUGCCUUAAUUGGUUCAAAAUUCUAUUUUAGUCCUUUUAUUUUGUGACCUGUAACUUUAUUUAGCUUUUUAUUUUUAAA